rnacentral:rRNA from 1 species
CCCUUAGAUGUUCUGGGCCGCACGCGUGCUACACUGACCGGCGCAACAAGUUUCUUUCCUUGGCUCGAUAGGCCUGGGUAAUCUUUGAACGCCGGUCGUGAUGGGGAUAGAUCCUUGCAAUUUUUGAUCUUCAACGAGGAAUUCCUAGUAAAUGCGAGUCAUCGUCUCGCGUUGAUUACGUCCCUGCCCUUUGUACACACCGCCCGUCGCACCUACCGAUUGAAUGGUCCGGUGAAGCCUCGGGAUUGCGAAUGCUUCGUGCGGACGCGAGAACUUGGCUAAACCUUACCAUUUAGAGGAAGGUGAAGUCGUAACA